UACGUAGGGUGCGAGCGUUAAUCGGAAUUACUGGGCGUAAAGUGUGCGCAGGCGGCCGCGCAAGUCGAGUGUGAAAGCCCCGGGCUUAACUUGGGAAUUGCGCUCGAAACUACGUGGCUGGAGUGUGGCAGAGGAAGGUGGAAUUCCAGGUGUAGCGGUGAAAUGCGUAGAGAUCUGGAGGAACACCGAUGGCGAAGGCAGCCUUCUGGGCCAACACUGACGCUCAUGCACGAAAGCGUGGGGGGCAAACAGG
rnacentral:rRNA from 1 species